GACGAACGCUGGCGGCGUGCUUAACACAUGCAAGUCGAACGGAAAGGCCCUGCUUUUGUGGGGUGCUCGAGUGGCGAAAGGGUGAGUAACACGUGAGUAACCUGCCCUUGACUUUGGGAUAACUUCAGGAAACUGGGGCUAAUACCGGAUAUGAGCUCCUGCUGCAUGGUGGGGGUUGGAAAGUUUCGGCGGUUGGGGAUGGACUCGCGGCUUAUCAGCUUGUUGGUGGGGUAGUGGCUUACCAAGUCUUUGACGGGUAGCCGGCCUGAGAGGGUGACCGGCCACAUGGGGACGGAGAUACGGCCCAGAAUCCUACGGGAGGCAGAAGUGGGGAAUAGUGCACAAUGGGCGGAAGCCUGAUGCAGCAACGCCGCGUGCGGGAUGACGGCCUUCGGGUUGUAAACCGCUUUCGCCUGUGACGAAGCGUGAGUGACGGUAAUGGGUAAAGAAGCACCGGCUAACUACGUG
rnacentral:rRNA from 1 species